rnacentral:rRNA from 1 species
GACGAACGCUGGCGGCGUGCUUAACACAUGCAAGUCGAACGGUAAGGCCCUUCGGGGUACACGAGUGGCGAACGGGUGAGUAACACGUGGGUGAUCUGCCCUGCACUUCGGGAUAAGCCUGGGAAACUGGGUCUAAUACCGGAUAGGACCACUGCCUGCAUGGGUGGGGGUGGAAAGCUUUUGCGGUGUGGGAUGGGGCCGCGGCCUAUCAGCUUGUUGUGGGGGUGAGGGCCUACCAAGGCGACGACGGGUAGCCGGCCUGAGAGGGUGGCCGGCCACACUGGGACUGAGUUACGGCCCAGACUCCAACGGGAGGCAGGAGUGGAGAAUAUUGCACAAUGGGCUCAAGCCUGAUGCAGCGACGCCGCGUGAGGUAUGACGGCCUUCGGGUUGGAUACCUCUUUCAGCACCGACGAAGCGCAAGUGACGGUAGGUGCAGAAGAAGGACCGGCCAACUACGUGCCAGCCGCCGCCGUAA